rnacentral:rRNA from 1 species
GUCUUAUUGAUUAUAAUUUUAAGUCUAAUCUGCCCAGUGAUUUAUUAAAUGGCUGCAGUAUUUUAACUGUACAAAGGUAGCAUAAUAAUUAGUUUCUUAAUUAGAAACUGGAAUGAAAGAUUGAACGAGACAAUAACUGUCUUAAUUUGAAUUUAAGAAUUUUAUUUUUAAGUUAAAAAGCUUAAAUUUAUUUAAAAGACGAGAAGACCCUAUAGAAUUUUAUAUUAUUAUUAUAUUUAAAUUUUAGUAUAUAAAUUUUAAAUUUUUUUAAAGAUAUUUAGUUGGGGUGAUUGGAAAAUUUAUUUAACUUUUUUUAUUGUAAGUCAUUUAUUUAUGUUUUUUUGAUCCAAAAUUUUUGAUUAUAAGAUUAAAUUACCUUAGGGAUAACAGCGUAAUUUUUUUAGAGAGUUCUUAUCGAUAAAAGAGAUUGCGACCUCGAUGUUGGAUUAAAGUUAAUUUUUAAUGUAGAAGUUAGGAUAUUAGGUCUGUUCGACCUUUAAAACUUUACAUGAUCUGAGUUUAAAUCGGCGUGAGCCAGGUUGGAUUCUAUCUUUAAUAAGUUUUAAUAUUUUUA